GGAUAGCUCAGCUGGUAGACCAUGAGACUCUUGCUCUCAGAGUUGCGAGUUCGAGUCUCAUGUUGGGCA